rnacentral:rRNA from 1 species
UACGUAGGGUGCAAGCGUUAAUCGGAAUUACUGGGCGUAAAGCGUGCGCAGGCGGUGAUGUAAGACAGAUGUGAAAGCCCCGGGGCUUAACCUGGGAACUGCGUUUGAAACUGGGAGACUUGAGUGUGGCAGAGGGGGGUGGAAUUCCACGUGUAGCAGUGAAAUGCGUAGAUAUGUGGAGGAACACCGAUGGCGAAGGCAGCCCCCUGGGUUAACACUGACGCUCAUGCACGAAAGCGUGGGGAGCAAACAGG